rnacentral:rRNA from 1 species
GACGAACGCUGGCGGCGUGCUUAACACAUGCAAGUCGAACGGAAAGGCCCUGCUUAUGUGGGGUGCUCGAGUGGCGAACGGGUGAGUAACACGUGAGUAACCUGCCCUUGACUUUGGGAUAACUUCAGGAAACUGGGGCUAAUACCGGAUAGGAGCUCCUGCUGCAUGGUGGGGGUUGGAAAGUUUCGGCGGUUGGGGAUGGACUCGCGGCUUAUCAGCUUGUUGGUGGGGUAGUGGCUUACCAAGGCUUUGACGGGUAGCCGGCCUGAGAGGGUGACCGGCCACAUUGGGACUGAGAUACGGCCCAGACUCCUACGGGAGGCAGCAGUGGGGAAUAUUGCGCAAUGGGCGGAAGCCUGAUGCAGCAACGCCGCGUGCGGGAUGACGGCCUUCGGGUUGUAAACCGCUUUCGCCUGUGACGAAGCGUGAGUGACGGUAAUGGGUAAAGAAGCACCGGCUAACUACGUG